rnacentral:tRNA from 6 species
CGGGGUGUGGCGCAGUUGGCUAGCGCGCACGCUUCGGGUGCGUGAGGUCGCGGGUUCAAGUCCCGCCACCCCGACCA